UCAGACAUGUGGCCAAUGGGAUGGGCCUGCUGAAGAGGCAGGUGCUGCCCUCCAGUGAACUUGAACCUGGGAGGGAGUAAGGCAGGAGCUGCUCUAGCAGCAAGCUUCCAGUGCCAGAGCCUGUAAUUCUAUCUCCGCUGUAGUCAGUCCAAGCUGGAUUUUCCAGAAAAACCAAUAGAAGGGGCAUCUGGGUGGCUCAGUCGGUUAAACGUCUGACUCUCGGUUUCGGCUCAGGUCUUGAUCUCACGGUUUCUUGAGUUUGAGCCCCGCAUCGGGCUCCGUGCUGACAGUGUGGAGCCUGCUUGGGAUUCUCUCUCUCUCUUUCUCUGCCCCUCUCCCACUCGUGCUGUCUCUUUCUCUCUCAAAAUAAAAUAAUUUAAAACAAUAGAAAAUGUGAGAGAGGGGUGUUAUGGGAUUAUGUACAAUUUACAUGUCACAAACGUGUGUGUGUGUGUGUGUGUGUGUGUGUGUAUGUGUGUGAAAACGAGAGAGAGCGAUGGCUUCUGGGAAAAAGUGGUACCUGAACUGAAUCUUGAAACACCGGUGGGAAUCCACCCAAGCUGUUCAAGGCAGAGUGGCAAUCUGCAAUUACAUCCCGCUUUCAGAGUAGGUGAAAUUCCAGAAGGCUUUAGAGACUCUGCCCUGGAUUACAGUGCUUCCCCAAACAUCUGUGGACAGGAAACGUUUCUAGAAGAUGUUACUAGAUAGACGUGCAGAGAGAAAACUGAACAACAUCGCUCUACUUUCUGCAUUGCUGGAUUUCUCUGGGGCUUUAAUAUGCUAAUGAGCAUCAAACAGCCAGAUCCUUCUUCUGCUGAGCACAAAUUACGCUCUCUGCGUUGAAUAGUUUUGGAAAAUGUAUAAAGUGCACUUUUCUAUGAGGUGUGGAGCGAUAAAUCAUUCAGCAACACAUCCUGCCAUCCUGGGUGUAAUUGGUGACCCGGUUGUAAAACCAAACUACAUUGUGCCGAAGACAAUAUGAAUGUGACCGAGUGGGUAAACGACAGCGUGUUAGAUUACUGGACACUUGUCAGUAGUUCGUGCACAAUGCAGUCUUUCUCUGUGUCGCAUCUGAACGCCUCUCACCCAGGCUUUAUUCUGUGUCACUGGACUGCAGUAGAGACGACCUGGCUUAGCAGCAUGUGCCAUGGACAGAGGAUACUUAUUGGCUCCAUUCGUGGAAACCUCCAAGAGCUGAGCCUAUUUUUUAUUCAUUAUGCUACGGGCUGUUGCAGAGACCCAGCAAGAGGUGGCACGGAGGGACAGGCAGUGGCAGUCUCGGGGACUUGAGAUUUCAUCCUCAAGGUAGUAGGAAGCCUUCGGAGACCCUUAACCAGUGGCAUGUGAUGAUCAGGAUGGACAACCGUGGCCUGCAGUUCCCGGACAGCCUAAUGUGGGAGCAAUGCGCCACAGAGCUCAGUUUGAAUCCCGGCUGUCAACGACUUAGAACUACGGCCCUGUGCCAUUCCCGCAGCCCGCCGUGUCCAGCUACAGACCACCCUCCUCACGCAUCAACACAAGGUCAAUGGUAGCCUCAGGCGGCAUCACAACGGUUAUGUCAUUCCCGUGCCUUCAUCUGGUCACGCGCGCGUUUUAUCAUCUCCCGUCACCACAAGAAGCGUACGUACGGUCACAUAGGUAUGUCCGUCUAGGAAACAACGCGGUGUAUGUAGGGGUCGGCACUAUCCGUGGUUUCAGGUGGCAUUGGGGGUCUUGCAGCGUGGGCCCCACUCAUAAGCGAGGGGCUACUGUAGCGACGUGAGGAAUCACAAGGAAGCACCAAGUGGAGUCACAGGACCUGGAUUUGAGUCUCAGCUCCAUUGCCGACUGGCUGUGUGAUCCCAGUAGGAACACAGUGUAGCUUUUCCACAAUGGGGUUGCCCUCGGAGAAGACCCCUCCCUAGAUGCUUGCCUGGCCCCAUGUGAACAGCUCUCAAACGGAAGACCGGCAACGUGACCAAUGUGUGCACUUUGGUGUCACGUGAACCUGCAUUGAAAUCUUGGCUUUGGUGUCACGGUUGACAUCGGACGAGUCGCUUAACCUCUAGAAAGAAUCUCAAUUAUCUGGGCUACUCUGAGCUACGUGAACAUUGCUGAGAACAGUCAAGAGCCCCAAGAAACAGUUUGCCCCCCUGCUCCAGCCCACAGUCAGGGGUGAAGAGGAAUUACAGAAACAUUAUUAUUUCAUCCAGUGUGACGUUAAAGGACAUGGAGGGCUCUAAACGGCCUUAAGAACACGCAGUGCUGGGGCGCCUGGGUGGCUCAGUAGAUUAGGCGUCUGACUUCCACUCAGCUGUUACAGUCUACAAUCUGAAGUUCUGCCAUUUUAAAAAAUCACACAGCAGCCACCUCAUCAUCACCAGACUUUCCUCUCCAGGCCAUUUUCUGGAGAAUGUGGCUCAUAUUCCCUGGUGAGAGAACAAAUCGGUUAUUCAUUACAUCUUAUCAAUGAGCUAGGGCUACACAGAAAGGAAGUCUAAUGAAAUCAGAAACUUGGAAAUACCAGCAACUGCUUUGUCCCGGGUUUUCAUCUGGGGUGUAACAAAGUCCCACAGGACAUUCCUCCAGGCUCGGAGAUGAAUGCUGAAGGCAUUGAAAGCAUUUGCUGAAUCUCUUCAAAUUAACUCCGAGGAGCUGACCUGGCUUCUCCUGAGAAUUAUUUGGUUUAAAUAUUAAUGGGGGAGAAUUUACAACGUUUAGUUUCACACGUCUAUAUAAAUGUUUUGUGGUAACAUAUGCAAUUAAUUAUUUUCUUUUUUCCACAUGUGCAAAAUUUUCUCUUUCACUCUCUCUAACCUCUUAAUCCAAGUCAAAAACUCAUUUAUCUUCUUGCUGUUGUAAUAUUUCAGUUUCUCUUUCUUGUUUUCACUCUGGUUGUCGUGUUUACCCGGCAUCUGUGUAUCACCUCAACACCAGGACCACAGAUCUCCCCCCGGGAUGCAUUCUUCAAAGGUGAGAGGUCAAUGAGGAUGUGUCAGCUAGUCAAGAUUGGGGAACCGGAGGGAUGCUCAGUGGAAACUACUUUAGAAUCUUCCAGAUGGAGGGCACGGGGGAGCCUACAGCUCUGGUUCGCUCGCUGAAUCUGGACUCAGGGGAUCCUUGCUGAAGUUUGGCAUUCAGGACUAAAGAGAUUUACCUGGAAUCUGCAUCCUGUUGGCCAGAAUUAUUGCUGCUUUCGUUCCUCAUUUGUAUGACUUUUUCACUUGGCAAAUUCAAAACAUAUAAAGCAGUGAAUCUGUCUGUAUUCUUCUUUCAGAUGACUGAUCCUGAAGGCUUAGGGUCCUGCACAGCUUCUGUUCUGUCCUAGACUGUGACUGUCUCACUCAAGGUCUCCUUUCUUCAGCUCACUACACUUGGGCAGAGCCCUGUCAUGCUUGGCCAGAUAAAUAAGAUCUGUAGGUAGAAGGGCUUUGGUCCCUAAAGCCCUCUGCUCCAGUUUCCAUAGAAACAAGGCAAGGGUGAUACCCACCACAAGGGCUCUUAAAGCCACACAUACUUUAUUCUGAGAAUCCCAUCGCGUUACAAAUACCACUCAGCAAUAGUUUUUAUUUUUUAUUAUUUUUUUUUUCAGCAAUAGUUUUUAAAGGCAUAAUCUACUUCAUUGCUCUGGAUGGCUUUGACUAACUAAGGCUUUCAAUUCCCUGUUGCAACCCUCCCUCCUUUAAAAUAAUUAUUUUUUGUUGUUGCUUUUAAACUUGAUGGAAAAAAAAUGACCAGUUCAUGCCAGUUGAGUUAUAGAUCCUGAACAGAUGGUUUAAGAUAAUUUAUUACAUGUUACAUAUUUACAUUUAAUUUAUUAGAUUUAUUCCUAAAGUUUGGGGAGAAAAUUUAGUACCAACUAAAAGAGUUAUAAUUAAAAGAGCACAGAGACAGGGUGCCUGGGUGGCUCGGUUGGUUAAGCAUCCGACUCUUGAUCUCAGUUCAGAUCUUGAUCUUAGGGUCUUGAUCUCAGGGUCGUGAGUUCAAGCCCUAUGUUAAAAGAGCACAGAGACAGCAGUCAGAGACCCCAAGCACUGAUCGAAACUUUAGCUCUCUCAGAGAUAACACUUUACUUUGUGACUUUGGGUGAUACCACAAACCUCUCUGGCCAUGAUUUCCAGUUGGUAAAAUCAAAGGACUGGAUCAGCUGAUCUCUAACUUUUUCUAGGUUCAAGAAUUCUUUGAAUUUGUGGUGUUAUAUAGUAGCAGAAGAGAUUCCACGAAAAAAAUAGAAUGUUGCUCUGUCGACAAUUAUGUCAGAGUAAUAAGCACUUUGUAGGAAGGUUGCUACUAACAUCAUACAGGAAGGAAAAGGGAAGGAGGGAAAAGAAAAAAUACCACUUACCAAACUUCUGCUGUGUGCUAAGAAAUUCAGAGACAUUAUCUCAUGUGAAAACACAUCAUUUCAGAGAUUCCCUCCUUAACGGACAGAGAUGCCAUUUCCGCUUCUGGCCCCAAAUGUGCAGGAUAGCUAACACUGAGUGAAUGCUUUCCGUGUGCCAGGCACUUUUCCAGGCACUUCGUGCAUACUUACACAAUUUAUUAUCCCCAUUCACAGAUGAGGAAAUCGAGGCACAGAGAGGUUAGGUAACUUGCCCAAGGUCAUGGUUGGUAAAUGGCAGAGCCAAGCUCCAAAGUCAGAGAGUUGGGCUCUAAAUCUGUGCUCGUAACCAUAUCCCCAUAUUGUCUCUUUUCAUUCAUUCAUUGAAGAAAUAUUUGAUGAACACUGACUAUUGGAAGGUAAUGCCCUAGACUUCGUCUUAUCUACUGGAUGCUACAUAUUAUAGACAAUGGAGUCUACAUUCUAUAUGUUAUGUAGGAUAUGAUGAAUAACAUGCCUAUAUUCUAUAUACUUUAUAAGAUGCAUUAAGCUGUAUACACUACUGUCUAUAUACAAUGGGUAAUAGACACGAUUUAUUAUAUGUAC